AAAAUUUUAUUUAAUUUAUAUAAUUUAAAUUAAAAAUAUAGAAAUAUGUGGGAUACGCGAAGGAAGCCCAAUUGUUGCGCGUUCAGUGAUACCUCGGUCGAUACCGCGGUAAGUAUAGUAGGAUUCCCCGCAACGCGAGAGAUACUCCACACUAUAGAAUCAAGAGCGUAAAAAGUUGAAACUUUUAAAAAAUAAAAUAGAAGAUAAUAAUAUGCAUAAAGGAUAUAAAUGAAUCUCAUUUUUUGUAAAGAUGUUUGAAAUUGUGACAUUAUCUCUUGUUUUUAAUACUAAAAAUGGAGAAGAAGCUAUUGCCUUACUUAAACGAUGGGUCAGUUUACUUGCGAUUGAAAUAAAUUCCGUAUUGAAAUAAUGCAACAAAUGUCGCUCAAGAUAUUAAUAACAAAAAUACGUUCUCAUCUCGCAAAUGAAUCUUCUUCGACAAUUUUUCAAUCGUAUUAUACGGUAACAGUAAUUUUUAGCUCUCGUUGAACUGGAGUUCUACUGUAUUUUGUAUCGAUUAACGAUCGAUCAGCCAUGAAAAGUAUUUUGAAGAAACUCCACUGUUUCUGAAUGUACAUGGGCGUCUUUGGAAGAUGGAUGAGGAAGAUUAUCGAGAAGCGAAUAAUCGCGAUUUGUACGUAAAAGAGGAUAAUUGCUUGGCGUAACGACAAAGGUGAUGAGAUUUCGUUCUUGAAGGCACUCUGUGUUCCGUGUAGUUGAAAGUAUACCUUAACCCCCUAACUGCUAGCGAGAAAAAAAAAAAUGGCGACGCUAUAAACGCUGUAGUAGGUACACGAUAAAAAAACUGUGCCAAGCCACAAGAUAACCGUAGAACCGUAGACAGUAGUGCAGAAACGUUAUAAAGGCUUUUAGUGGUUAAUUCUCGAAGUAUAUAUACACGCAUAUAUACGCUACACGUAUAGCUGUAUAGUCCUUGUAUCAAUAUACGAGUAUCCAAUCCAGUCAAUUUGAUCGUUUGGCUGUCGUUGAGUGUUUCGAGAUCGUCCUUCGAGAUUCCAGCGACGCCCAUCGUUGGCUACACAGCAGACGAAAUUAACACGACGAUAACUAUAACUCUUUGGUACGAAUUACGAGCAUUGUACCGAGCAGACUGAAUCUACUCGUGUAAUUACGAUCGUAAUUAUAAUGAUACCCACGUCACUUGAUCAUACGCGAUUGGAGUAGUCGAGACUGAAGAACUUUCUUUUCUACAUGUGCGCAAGAAGUAGAUAGAAUAGGUCGGUGCUGUUCCAAGGCGUGCAUUUAAUCUGUAAUAUCGUGUCGAGGUCAUGGGUACUUAUCGAUGAAGGAUACUGAGAGGUAAUAAUAUUAACAAGGAUUAGCAAAAAUAAAAGGAAGUACAAAGAGUUCUUACUUGCGAAGAGAAAGGAACACAAUUGCGGCAACAGAUACCAUUAAAGUUUAGGAUCAAUGGUGUCUACGUGUAGAGACGUCCCUCAUGUGGCUUUGCCAUAUCUAUCAUUGCAAUAGGAUUUCAACGGUAUUUUCCAAUUCCAUACCCUUCUCCUCUCCGAUAUAUAUUUUUCUAUAUUUUUCUAUAGUGUAUUCUCUUCUCCAAUAUUUUCGUUCGUUCCGUCUGUUUGAAAAAUUGUUCACGAGUGAAAUUAGCGUCCUCAGGUUCCUUAGACAAAGUCGAAGCCGAUCGGAGAAUCGAACAAACAUUCCAACUUCAAGCAUUCGAGAAAUAUCUUAGAAAUAUCUAGAAGAAUCGUAACUUUGAAUACGAACAGAAAUUAAUUAAAUAAUAUGUAAAGUCGUCGACCUGUCUUACACUCAUCGUCACUGGAACAAUUAUUUUCUCAAUCUGGCAUUUUUCUAUCCACUUCUAUACAUCGAUGUUCGAGUUAGCUGGUUAUCUUCUCCCUUUUGUUUUUUUUUUUUUUUGUACCGUAACCGGGUUUUUCGAGUAACGUCGAACGAUACGAUGUCGUUUCGCUUCGCGUCGUUCCAUUCGAUUUGUCUGACCGGCGAGGUAUCGAUCGCGGAUGAAAGAUAUCUGUGGAGCACGCAUGCAUAUCACACGACGAGGUGAUUUACGUAUCUCUCACUCCGGACAAGCGAUUCUCGAGCUGAGAGGGGAAAAACGUAACUCAAUAGAAGCAAGAUCUCGCGUUUGAAGUCUACUGUUCGUGAAAGUGGUACAAAAUAACCGUGUAGUACAGUUUAACCGAAACUGCAGGCGAGUCGACUUGAGUAACCCGGUACCGCUGGUAAUACGUAUUUUCUAACGAGUGUAUAUAAUCUGUACUGUAUAUUCGGACAUGCAAAUGUCUCCUUGUGAUUGUGAAUGAAAUAAAUAAAUCGGUACCAUAUA